UCACAUCUUUCCCUGCGCAGUUUCUGCCAGAGGCAAUGAUCAGUAGCGAAGAGUAGCCAACGCAGGGCUCGAAGUGCUUUGGAAGGCCACGACUGCUGGCUGAGGCAACCCAGGAUCUGACAGAAGAGCUGGCAGGUGCCUGAAACACACACAGUGGAUUACCUUCCCUUUCCCAAAAUAAAUGCAAUGCUGAUCAGCAUUUCUCUUGGAAUAACCAUGAAACUGGACCCAUGAACAUGUCACCAAAUAUCUAUCUCGAGAGAAUCCAAGUUACACAACCUGCAUCACCCUGCAAGGCUCAGUCACGUACACAUUCAUGGCAAACUUUUGGAAGAACUUCAGCAGCUGCUUGUCCUAAAGAGCCAAACACAAAAUUCCUGGGCAGCUUCUCAUGACCACUCUUUUGAAGGUCACACAGAGUUUCUGUUAUGAAUGAAGAAUUUCAUGCAACUUUGUUGGGAAUGGCAGGGGUACAGACACGAGCCAACCCUACUUUCGCUGUAAGAUUUGAUUUCCAUGUACAGUCACCUUUUUAGAAAGAAAACCUUUCACGAAUUAAUUAUAAAAAAAAUUGCCACCAAACAGUUUAGGUGAAUGUACAGUUAGUGAAUAUGGUCACAGUUUUAACCACUUCAAAAAGGGGUAGAAUAUUAAAAUAUUUUCUGUGGAAAUAGUUCUAAUAAAUGAUGCAUACACUGAUUUUCCCAUUCACCUUUUGUUUAUUGUUUUGGUUUUGUUUACAGAUGGAUACAUCCCAGUUAUGAUAACUGUUUCACAUAUUUAAUUUUUAAGGAAUUUCUCCUCCUUAUCUUUAGUCAAAGACUUUUCCAAACAAACACCACAAAUUGAAUAUAUUAAAAACAGUGCAGAUUUAAUCAUAACAAGGUAAAUAAAAAGAAACUAUAAUCCAGUAUAAUUGAGUAAAAAUUAGAUACAAAGUUAGGAUAUACUCCUAUAAAAUGAAAUCUCAAAGGGAGGGGGAUAAAUUGGGAGAUUGGAGUAGGAUGGAGACAAAGCCCUUGCAAACAUCUGACGACACGUUCCAGGGUCUUUGUGAGUUCUUCUGUAAUGAGCAAGUGAGAUAUAAUCUGACCCGUGCAGGUAUACUAUUCAAGUAUAUUGGAUUCAAUAAGUAAAUUAGUAUGAUCUCAUUUUUGUUCAACCGAUUCUCUCUCUAAAGUUCUUCAAAACCUGAUGUAGAACCUAUCUGGGCU
rnacentral:lncRNA from 1 species